rnacentral:lncRNA from 1 species
CCGCGGAGAAGGGAGAGAUAAGCCCUCCUCCUCAGCCGCUGUUUCUUGGGGUCUCUAUGGCAGGGACCGCACACACGCCGGCUGCCUUCGGGGCAGCUGAAGGCAUCCUGGGGUCCCCAGCGCACCCUGGCUGGAGGUGCAGCCCCCACGGGCGCACGCUCCCCUUGCUGGUCGGACGUACGACGCACCUCGGUGUGGUCGCUGUACACGUGGUACAGCACGUGUGUGAAGACCUCAGGCGAGACGCUGUGCAGGGUGACAGCCGGGAGGCCGCCCGAGGCCUCCAGCUGCUCGCUCUCCUGGAAGUGGUCGUCCAGCAGGGCCCGGAAGUACUCGCUGCGGCCACAGAAGAAGGCCUGCGGGAGGCUGGGCUCAGGCAGGGCUGCCCUGGGAGCAGGGCUGGGCGCGCGCCUGCAGGCGAAGCCACCUACCUUGUGGCAGAGGAAGUCGUAGCCGCCCACGCGGAAGCAGACGUCGGGGCAGCUGCUAAGGCCGGCGCAGGGGAAGGGCAGCUCCCCGAGGUCGCCCNGGGGGGAGGCGGGGCAGGCUCAGGGCAGGCGCGAGGGAGAGCAGCCUGGCCCGGGCCGGUCCUAGCUCACCCUGGAAGGUGACACUGUUCCAGGGGUCGAGUUAGACACGAGAGCCGACAGAGCAAGAGAGGGGCUCAGAAAAGGGAAGCGCCAGGCUCUGGGCCUAACCUGCAGCCCAGGGCGGGGCCUUACCCGGAGCUCAGGGGGCAGGGCGCAGUCAGCGAGCAGGGCCAGGUCCUCCCGCAGCUGGGGGUCCGCCUGGGGGGGCUCGACAGUCAGCACCUUCAUGCACACACCCGGCUUGGAAGCCACUGCGGGGAAGAGCGCGCCGCUUCAGGGGGUGGGCCGCCCGCAGGCCCCCACCCGAGCCCAGGGCCUGAGGCCGGGACGGCCCCACUCACACUUGGCCUCCAGGGCACCAAGCAGGCCCCACAGCUGGCACUGCCGGGCCAGGCGCUCACAGUCGCUGACAUGCUCCACGCCGACGUCCAGGCAGCCUGGGUGCGGGGACAGUGCGGGGGGAGACGUGGGGACUGAGGAAGCCCUCGGCUGCCCCCCGCCCCCCCAGGAGGCGGGUGGUCCAUCUGCCUAACCACUGGGCUACAGGGCCGCUGUCCGAGCUCUCAGGCCCCAGGACAGCAAGAGGACCUCAGACCAUGGGUGGACAAGCCGACCGAGGAGGCAGCUGCACCGUCCCACCAGAGCAGACGAGCCCAAGAGGGAAACGACGGCCCCAAGGCCAUGUCUGGUGCCACAGCCCUUGCCCACUGAGCACGGCUCACCUGUGUACAGGUACUGCAACAGCGCCCCGAAGGCCACGGGGUUGAUCUGUGGGCAGAGACAGGGUCAGAGACGGCCACGCCACACGCGCCUCCCCCAGCGCCCGCUGACGCACCAGGGGGUGCCUGAGGACCACCGUGCUCUUGCCCUUCCACUUGGUGUCGAACAUGUGGGCAAAGUAGGUGCUGCGUGCGCCCAGAACGCCGCGAUGCGCCCGGAAGGACUUGCCGUGCACCACGAAGGCCACGUCGCUGUGGAGGCCCUGCUCCAAGAGCCUGUGGGCCGCGGGGGGCUCAGCAGUGUGCCCAGAGUCCCGCGCAGCAGGAGAGCCCUCCCCGGCGCAGGCCCCGGCAGGCCGGCUCACCGCAGCAGGAAGCUAUAGUAGAGGUCCCGCCGCCGGAAGGAGGCCGCCACCUGCCUAUAGUCACGCAGCGCCCGGCGGAUGGCGUCGCUCUGCGCGCCGUAGAGGCAGCGCUCACCGUCGAAGGUGUUGGCCUCGCAGCGGGCUCCUGAGGGCAAAAGAGCUGCCCGUCAGCGGGGCCUAAGGCUGCCCACCACGGCUGGGGACGGGGAGGUGCUCGCCCUCCCACACACACAGACACACACGGGGCCCCGGGACCGCCCUGCCCCAGCACCCUCCCCGCCAGGCCCUGGGCACACGCCACCCGGCACACAGACACCUUGGAGGCCGGCCUGAGCUAUGCUGGGCCCCGAGGACACACCACAGACAGACAGUCCCCUGUCCGCAGAAAACUGGGCUUCCAGGGGCAGGAAGACACACACAGUUAGCUUCAGAGGCUCUGAAGAAAGCUGAGAAGGUGAAGGAUGGCUCUGGUGCAGCUGCCACAGGGGUGCGGUAGAGGCACCAGGGCAGACAAGGAGCAGGGAGCUGAGCCAGGCGAGCCCCCGGGAAGGGCCGUCCGAACAGAGGAAACGGCGUGUGCCCAGGCGCCGAGGAAAAGCAGUGGUGCCGGCGGGGCUGGCCGGGGGCAGAGGGGCACACUCGGGGCCGCUUGGACGCGGCCAGGCUCUCCAGCUUGCGGGAGGCGCGGCUGGGAGGCCCUGUGGGACUUCACGCCGGUCAGACUGGCCUCCCAGGCGCUGGGCAGAUGCUGAGCUGGGCCCCGGAGAUGGAUGUCGGGGGACGGGUUCUGAGAGCACCCCAAGGGGGUGCAGGAAUGUGCCCACCGCCCACCCUGCACUCACCGUUGGCCAGCAGGUAGAGCACCAGCUCCUCGUGCCCACAGAGGCAGGCGUAGUACCUGAGGGGAUGGGGUGAGGGCGCCGUCAGGCCCGCAGGCCGCCACCCCGCUCCCCUCACUACCCCCCUGCCCGGCACUCACAGCGGGGGUGCUGCCCCACUCCGCCCUGCCCGGCACUCACAGCGAGUGCUGCCCCACUACCCCCUGCCCGGCACUCACAGCGGGGUGCUGCCCCACUACCCCCUGCCCGGCACUCACAGCGGGGUGCUGUCCCACUACCCCCUGCCCGGCACUCACAGCGGGGGUGCUGUCCCACUCCGCCCUGCCCGGCACUCACAGGGGGGUGCUGUCCCACUCCGCCCUGCCCGGCACUCACAGGGGGGUGCUGCCCCACUACCCCCUGCCCAGCACUCACAGCGGGGUGCUGCCCCACUCCCCCCUGCCCGGCACUCACAGGGGGGUGCUGUCCCACUUGUCCCGCACGUUCACCUCCACUUCUCGCUGCUCCAGCAGGUACCUGGGCAGGGGGGACGGGGUUAGAGAAGGCUGCGGGAGGGGAAGGAGGGAAGCCUCCUCCAGUGAGGGCAGGUGAGGCAGAGAGAGCGCAGGACAGGCGCUGAAGGCCGAGCAGCCAGGACAGGGUGUGGACGUGGGAGGCUGGGCGUCAGGGGCCUCGCGCUGGAGAGGCUGAGCACCCGCUGACAGCGCUGGGAGGGGCCGCCCAGCAGGAGGCCUGCAGGGUCCCGGAGGCGCGGGAGGGAAGAACGGGAGACUCCCUAAGGUGGGCGUCAGGAGACAGGGCGGCAGACGGGCGGGGGUAGGGGCGACCACUGAGGAUGCUGGAGGCCUCGGCACAUGCCCAGGCGGGAGGGACCCAGUGUGUUCUGAAGAGCACCAGGCUUUGGAGGCUACCAAGUAGACCCCAAGGGGCACCCCACCUGGGGAGGUCCCCAGCGAGGCAGCAGGAC